CGGCUUAGCCGCGGAGGGCGGGGCGGCGGCCCGGAAAGUUCCCGGCCCCUCCCCGGUCCGGCAGGCAGAGGGAGGGGCCGGGGCUUCCGGACGGGCGCGGGGCGCCGGGGGUGACUCAGGGGGCGCUGACUCAGGGGCCGCCGCCCGCCCCGGCCGGGCGCGAGGUCACCUGUGCUCUGCUGGGUCGGGGGCUGCGAACCGCAACCGAAAGAAACCUGGGAAGAGCGGGAUUCUUCGCCCGGCCGCGCUGGGCCCAUGCAGCUCCGGCCCUGGGCGGGGGCUCCGGGGACCCUGCGGGCAUCUCGGGAAUGGCCCAGGACCCGGUUCCGCGGACCCGGGUGCGUCCACCUGCUGGGCGGCUUUUGCAGCAGCCAGGGCAGCCUGGGCCUUGGCUGGGAGUGGGAACCUGGCCGGUCCUCACCGCUUUCCAGUGACCAGGCUCUGCGUUUCCUCCCAGGGCUCCCAAAGCUCUGAGACAUUGCCACAACACCGAAGCCCGGCUGUGAAACAACCCUGACUCUACCGCAGGCUCCGGGUCCCUCGGCGGAAAGGCCGCCUUCAUAGCCACAGAAAAAGUUGUAAGGUCCAGGCGCGGAGCCCAGCCGGCGAUCGCAAAUGGAACGGUUGGCUGGGGCGCAGCGCAUGGAAAUGCCAGUUGGGACCCGCGGCUCUGCCAACAGCGGCGGAUCCGACUGAGAAGCUCGAACUGGUCCAGCACUCAGGAGGCUGAGACAGGAGGAUUGCCAUGUGUUUGAGGCCAGCCUGGGCUACAUAGCAAGACCUUGUCUAAAGAAAACAGAAAACAACAACAACACACAACAGAAACCCCAAAAGUGAUGGUGCUGAAUCUUCUUGGAGAGAGGAUCUCAUAGACCCAAACGUCAGCAUUGUCGACGUACUAAAGAAAAUAAGUAAAAUCAGUAACAAAGCAAAGUGAGCGGUGACUUCAUCAUAAGGUGAAUUCUCUGGCCUUGCUGCGCAUGGUGGGGCACAACUGGCAUCUCAGUACUCAAGGAGGCAGAGGCAGGAGGAUCCCAAGUUCCAGCUCACCCUGGGCAACUCGGUGACUUAGCGAGAUCCUGUCUCAAAAUAAAAAAUAAAAAAAGGGACGGGGACAGAGCUCAGUGCGAAGGCAUGGGAUGUUAGACACUCGUAGGGCGGCAGAGAGCUGGAGGGAAGGCGAGUUCAUUGGCUGCUGGGCUCGGCAGAAGUUGCCGUCCAGAGUCUGAGCCCGGAUUCGAAGCUUGUUUUCAUGUUUAUUGCGCUCUUCAGGCAGGGCAGGGACGCAAGCAGGCAGGGGCGCGGCACACGC
ensembl:lncRNA